AGAGAGAGAAAGGUUUUAGCAAUGGUAGGUGAUGGUGAAGAAGUGAGAAACAAACAGGUGCUAGCUAGAGAUUACAUAGAUGGUAAUCCCAAAGAAACAGACAUGUACUUUAACACAAGUAGCAUAAGCUUGAAGGUGCCAGAGGGUUCAAAAGAAGUGUUGGUGAAGAACCUUUACUUGUCCUGUGAUCCUUACAUGUGAGGCAGCAAGGACAAAAUCCCAGAUAACCCUUUUUAUUCCUUUGCUCCCCAUUCACCAAUAGUUGGGUAUGGAGUGGCUAAAGUUUUGGAAUCCGGGCACCCAGACUUCAAGAAAGGAGACUUCAUUUGGGGGGUAACCAAAUGGGAAGAAUACAACCUCAUCACAAUGACUGAAAGCCUCUUUAAAAUCCAACACACUGAUGUGCCCUUUUCCUACUAUACUGGACUUCUUGGUAUGCCUGGUAUGACUGCUUAUAUCGGUUUCUCUGAACUUUGCUCACCAAAGAAAGGAGAAUAUGUUUUUGUCUCAUCAGCAUUUGGUGCAGUUGGCCAAGUAGUUGGGCAAGUGGCCAAAUUGAUGGGUUGUUAUGUUGUUGGAAGUGCUGGAAGCAAAGAAAAGGUUGAUAUACUAAAGAGCCAGUUUGGAUUCGAUGAGGCUUUCAAUUAUAAGGAAGAGCAUGACUUGGAUGCAGCUCUAAAACGGUGUUUUCCUGAAGGCAUUGACAUUUACUUUGAUAAUGUCGGAGGCAAAAUGCUUGAUGCAGUUCUCCUUAACAUGAGAUUCCACAGUCGCACUGCAGUAGCUGGAAUGAUCUCACAAUACAAUCUUGAUCAACCUGAAGGCAUAAGAAAUUUAUUAUCUUUGGUAUAUAAGAGGAUUCGUAUGGAAGGAUUUACAGUGUAUGAUUACUAUCACCUCUUUCCCAACUUCUUAGACCUUGUGCUGCCUUACAUUAGAGAAGGAAGGAUGGCAAAUGUUGAAGACACAGCCGAAGGCCUCGAAAAUGGCCCUGCAGCUCUUGUGGGAAUUUUUAGCGGCCAAAAUGUAGGAAAGCAAGUAGUUGUAGUUGCUCGGGAGUGAUCAUUUUACCUCCUUUAGCAUAUGUAUUUUACACUUUUUUUCUUCUUUUUUCUGUGUAAUACUUAUACAGCACUUUAUAAAGUGCUUCUCCCCAUUACCAUGGUGAAAGCCAUUGCUGCUUGACAGCCAUGGUAACUUGGUAAGUAAAUUCUCAGGGUUCAAUAUAUUAUGGGCUGUUUCAAUAAGGAAUGCUUGUCCAUAUAUGUAAACAUUAAGAAGAUAAUAGUCUAAUUGGCAAAUAAACAAAAAAAUU